rnacentral:rRNA from 1 species
UACGUAGGGGGCAAGCGUUGUCCGGAAUUACUGGGCGUAAAGGGCGCGUAGGCGGCCUUCUAAGUCAGACGUGAAAUCCCCAGGCUUAACUUGGGAACUGCGUCUGAUACUGGGAGGCUUGAGUGCGGGAGAGGGAUGUGGAAUUCCAGGUGUAGCGGUGAAAUGCGUAGAGAUCGGGUGGAACACCAGGGGCGAAGGCGGCAUCCUGGCUCUGUCCUGACGCUGAGGCGCGAGAGCGUGGGGAGCAAACAGG